GAUGAACGCUAGCGGCAGGCCUAACACAUGCAAGGUCAGGGGGCAGCGCAAAGAUAGGUUUACUAUUUUGGCGGCGACCGGCGCACGGGUGAGUAACGCGUAUGCAACCUACCUUAUACAGGAGUAUAGCCCGAAGAAAUUCGGAUUAAUCCUCCAUAGUAUUCUUUAAUGGCAUCAUUUGAAGAAUUAAAGCUUCGGCGGUAUAAGAUGGGCAUGCGUCCUAUUAGCUAGAUGGUAAGGUAAUGGCUUACCAUGGCUACGAUAGGUAGGGGGCCUGAGAGGGUGAUCCCCCACACUGGUACUGAGACACGGACCAGACUCCUACGGGAGGCAGCAGUGAGGAAUAUUGGGCAAUGGAGGCAACUCUGACCCAGCCAUGCCGCGUGCAGGAAGAAUGCCCUAUGGGUUGUAAACUGCUUUUAUUUAGGAAUAAACCCCUUUACGUGUAGAGGGCUGAAUGUACUAAACGAAUAAGCACCGGCUAACUCCGUG
rnacentral:rRNA from 1 species